rnacentral:rRNA from 1 species
UACGUAGGGGGCUAGCGUUGUCCGGAAUCAUUGGGCGUAAAGCGCGUGUAGGCGGUCCGGUAAGUCCGCUGUGAAAGUCGGGGGCUCAACCCUCGAAUGCCGGUGGAUACUGUCGGGCUAGAGUGCGGAAGAGGCGAGUGGAAUUCCUGGUGUAGCGGUGAAAUGCGCAGAUAUCAGGAGGAACACCGGUGGCGAAGGCGGAUCUCUGGGCCGAUACUGACGCUGAGGAGCGAAAGCGUGGGGAGCGAACAGG